AGCUUCUGGCCGACGACGUUGGGCACCGCGGCCUUCUGCGCCGCGCCCUUAGAGACGAAGAGCGUCACCGUGGAGUUCGGCUUCGCCGAGGUGUUGCC
rnacentral:tRNA from 1 species